AGAGUUUGAUCCUGGCUCAGAGUGAACGCUGGCGGCGUGCCUAACACAUGCAAGUCGAACGAGAACGGGUUAAAGUUUACUUUAACUGUCAGCUAAGUGGCGCACGGGUGAGUAAUAUAUAGUUAACCUGCCCCAAAGAAGAGAAUAAUUGUUGGAAACGACUUGUAACUCUCUAUAUGCCUUUAUUACAUAAGUAAGCAAGGGAAACAUUUAUGGCUUUGGGAUGGGACUGUACGGUAUCAGAUAGUUGGUGAGGUAAUGGCUCACCAAGUCAAUGACGCCUAACUGGUUUGAGAGGAUGAUCAGUCACACUGGAACUGAGACACGGUCCAGACUCCUACGGGAGGCAGCAGUGGGGAAUAUUGCACAAUGGAGGAAACUCUGAUGCAGCAACGCCGCGUGGAGGAUGACACAUUUCGGUGCGUAAACUCCUUUUAUAUGAGAAGAUAAUGACGGUAUCAUAUGAAUAAGCACCGGCUAACUCCGUGCCAGCAGCCGCGGUAAUACGGGGGGUGCAAGCGUUACUCGGAAUCACUGGGCGUAAAGAGCAUGUAGGCGGAUAGAUAAGUUGGAAGUGAAAUCCUAUGGCUUAACCAUAGAACUGCUUCCAAAACUGUCUAUCUAGAAUAUGGGAGAGGUAGAUGGAAUUUCUGGUGUAGGGGUAAAAUCCGUAGAGAUCAGAAGGAAUACCGAUUGCGAAAGGCGAUCUACUGGAACAUU
rnacentral:rRNA from 1 species